UUUUAUGGAGAGUUUGAUCCUGGCUCAGGAUGAACGCUGGCGGCGUGCCUAAUACAUGCAAGUCGAGCGAACGGACGAGAAGCUUGCUUCUCUGAUGUUAGCGGCGGACGGGUGAGUAACACGUGGAUAACCUACCUAUAAGACUGGGAUAACUUCGGGAAACCGGAGCUAAUACCGGAUAAUAUUUUGAACCGCAUGGUUCAAAAGUAAAAGACGGUCUUGCUGUCACUUAUAGAUGGAUCCGCGCUGCAUUAGCUAGUUGGUAAGGUAACGGCUUACCAAGGCAACGAUGCAUAGCCGACCUGAGAGGGUGAUCGGCCACACUGGAACUGAGACACGGUCCAGACUCCUACGGGAGGCAGCAGUAGGGAAUCUUCCGCAAUGGGCGAAAGCCUGACGGAGCAACGCCGCGUGAGUGAUGAAGGUCUUCGGAUCGUAAAACUCUGUUAUUAGGGAAGAACAUAUG
rnacentral:rRNA from 1 species